rnacentral:rRNA from 1 species
AAUAUUUGACAAUGGGCGCAAGCCUGAUCCAGCCAUGACGCGUGAGUGAUGAAGGACCUAGGGUUGUAUAGCUCUUUCACCGGUGAAGAUAAUGACGGUAACCGGAGAUGAAGCCCCGGCUAACUUCGUUCCAGCAGCCGCGGUAAUACGAAGGGGGCUAGCGUUGUUCGGAAUUACUGGGCGUAAAGCGCACGUAGGCGGAUCGGUCAGUUAGGGGUGAAAUCCCGGGGCUCAACCCCGGAACUGCCUUUAAUACUGCCGGUAUAGAGUCCGAGAGAGGUGAGUGGAAUUCCGAGUGUAGAGGUGAAAUUCGUAGAUAUUCGGAGGAACACCAGUGGCGAAGGCGGCUCACUGGCUCGGUACUGACGCUGAGGUGCGAAAGCGUGGGGAGCAAACAG